ACUAUUUUGGCAGAAGGAAGUGUAACAGAUUUAGAAUCUGUAAAUAUGGUUAUAAAUCAUAGGUAGUA
rnacentral:tRNA from 1 species